rnacentral:sRNA from 1 species
GUACAUGUUCUUACUCUCUCUCUGCAUUAUUCAAAAUAUUUAUCAAGAUUUGCAAGAAAAUUUUGGGCAUCCUACUACCGCAUAGCUAUGCAUCCUAGGUCACCUUUGGGAGAAAGCAAGCUUGGCCAGGUUAUGGAAUGGAGUCCAUGGAUGGUUGGAAAUUCCACUUGAUUUUGUAAGUGGUAGAUUUGCCUUAUCAUUGAAAAAUAUAUGUUGUUAUGAUCAUGGUGUCUUGGUGCUCCUGUCACAACUGAUGGCGCGGAAGCUACUAGAUUAACAUGUGUCAGGAAUGUGCAGGCCGGUGCAUAUAUGAUUGCAGUCGACCACUACUCACCUUUGAUGUAGGGUCACGGUUGUAUCACCCUUGCAUGAUAUGAAUUGUGGUAUCUUCAGUUCAGGUUCUGAUGUAAAUCUAGUAUUUUUGAGAAAUUUUUUGUAUAAGAACUUUGUUGCAAUACCUCAAUAAAUGAAGUUAC